GGUCCAAUACUAAAGGAAGUAGAGAAUUGUAGGGAUACUAUAUCAUAUAUAUACUACUCUAUUGGUGGGGGCGUGGGGUUAUUGAUCCCUUCAUUUCUCUUAUUUCCCUUUCUCUUAGAUUUUUCCUUUCCUUCAACUUCAAAUACCACCCCACCCUACCAGGCAAACCCUAUCGCCUACCUAGUUAGUUUUUAACCUUUGCCCUCUUUCUUUCACUCUCUCUCAGUUCCUAACCUCACCAUUUUCAUCAUAUAUAUAAUUUCCAUCUGCAAGAAUUCUUUGUGUUGAAUUGAUGCAUAAUACAGAAUACUGCAUAUUUUAUGUUAAUUAUAUGCUUUAUAUUAAUUAGUGGGUUGUUUAUAUUUUAUGUUGUAUGCCUGGCUCCCUGUAUGCCAUUCGCAGAGCCCAUCGAAUAAUCGAUGACCUCCAUGGAUGGCGUAUGAGGAGCCAAGCAUACCCCUUUUUUUACAUUUCACUUGUUUACUUUAUAUUUUUUUGUUAUCUAUUUAAUCUUGAGUAUUAUUAAUGUCUGAUCAUGUUUUAUUUUACUCAAGACUUUUCUUUCUUUCUUUUAAUUAUGUUACAGAUAAUUACACAUUUUAAAGGCAAUAUAUAUCUUUGUCGUGAAUAAAUCCUUAAGCAUAUUGGUUUAAAGGUAACUAGCUCUUCUUUUCCAUCAACAGGUUGAAGAAUAUAAUAUAAAGAGAAAGCGAGGAGAAGAUUUUGGUGUAUUGAGCUGCUUAACUUGCUCAACUAUAUAUAAUUUAACAAGAAAACACAUUUCAUCUUUCAUGCGGCAAGAGACAACAUAGAAGUUACAACUUAUUAACACUUUACAGGCUAAUGCAGCGCAUGCUUUGUCUCUCAUAGGGAAUCUGAUAUAUAUACUUCGAUAUGGAAUGUACAAUAUUUUAGGACUCUUAAAGAAGUUGUGAAAGUGCCCAUGUGAUUAGACACCGCAAGUCAAAAAUGAAAAGUUACAUCAACUAUUUCAUAUGUAUACACUGUAUACGUUUAAUAUUAAGAAGAUGGUUGCAGUUAAAAAUAUCAUGGAAGAAGUAUCUUCUCCAUUUAUCCCCUGGUCAUUAAAUAUCAUUUGUAACUAAACUAAAUUACAACAUACCAACAUUUCCCAAUA